GUGUUUGACCAGACAGCCCUUGCAAUUGAGCAUGUCAGAUUUUUCUACCAAAACAUUUGGAGGAGUUGGGAUGAAGAAGAGGAGGAUGAAUACGAUUAUUUUGUCAGAUGUGUUGAACCUCGAUUAAGAUUGCAUUAUGACAUUCUUGAAGACCGAGUUCCAUCAGGACUUAUUGUUGACUACCACAAUCUGUUGUCUCAAUGUGAGGAGAGUUACAGGAAAUUUUUAAAUCUGAGAAGCAGUUUGUCAAAUUGUAACUCUGAUUCCGAGCAGGAAAAUAUCUCCAUGGUGGAAGGGUUAAAAUUGUAUUCGGAGAUGGAACAGUUGAAACAAAAGCUGAAACUCAUUGAGAAUCCUUUGUUGAGGUAUGUGUGUCUUUGUAAUUCUUAGUUAGUCAGCAUCUUUUCUUACUUGCUGUCUUACUGAUAGGCCUGUUUCGUUUCUUUAAGGUAUGUGUUUGGUUAUCAGAAGAAUUCUAACAUCCAAGCAAAGGGUGUCCGUUCCAGCGGUCAGAAGAUCACUCAUGUGGUCUCCUCCACCAUGAUGGCUGGUCUCCUGCGGUCCCUGCUUACGGACAGGCUUUGCCAGGAGCCUGGUGAGGAA
rnacentral:lncRNA from 1 species